rnacentral:sRNA from 1 species
UUGUAAAGGUUACGCGUUUUUUUCUUUUUUUGAAUAUUUUUUUUUCUUUCUUCUAUGGCUGAGAGGUUAAUUGCUUUAACGUUUGUACGAAACUAGUUCAAUACUAGCCAAAGAUUUUGCAUGAGACCCUCAUUUGAAGCGUAUAUAAAUUGCAUGGCUACCGUGCAAUUUUUAUUUUGCAGAGAUUCUAAAAAAAUCGUAUAAGAAAAAAAAUGUAGUUGUCACAUUGUAAAAAUCAAAGCAAAUGUUCGAUAAGCCACGAGACGUUUGCAACAGCAGUUCUUCGCGUCUGACUUUUGAUGCAGCAGCAAACGGCAAUAGCUAAUGCCUAAUGUUGUUGUUUAGCUUCAAAAUUUUCUUCCGAUUUUUAAUUGGCAGCAGCUCUGUUUUUUUUCCUUGCCCCAUUGUCCGUCUGUUCAUCCAUCUAAUAGUCUGUCUGUCCUUCUUAUUUUUUUUUUGUCUAUCUUAUUUUGAACAAUUUAAUUUUACUCAUGUUAAGGUAGUUGCCGCCUUCGAUCAAUGAUUUCGAAAAAAACCCGAAAAAAUCAGCCAACCAAAAUCAAUCAGAGGCGUAGCCAUGAAUUAGGGGGUCAAAAGAAAAUAUGGUUGAAUCAUCUCAAAAUGAAAUGAGUGAAUUGCAAUUUAAUGAAUUAAUUCUUUGCAAUGCAUGCCUGCAAUGAUGUUUAAGAAUUAACAGGUGCUGCUGCAAAAUAAUGACUGCUGGCAAAGAGAAGACAGUACAAUGGCUUUUUUUCUUUGCUUCAUCUCCUAGACUAGAAUUGCAAGUCAUCAAAAUGAGCUUGUUUGGCAUUUUAAUGAAAUUGUAUUACCUUCGUUUUUAUUAUUUGCUUAUAAAAUAUCAAUUGAUAUCAUGUGAUUACUGCUAUCAUUUUGUUACUAUGACAGUCAGUGCCUUCAUACAAUUAGUUCAUCAAAUUAUUGAUAGGAAUAUUUUUUCUUGAAAUUUUUUUAAAAAUAGUUAUAAUUAGCACCUUCUCUAUUUGUUUGCUUCUUUCUUGCCAUAUCGGCUCUCGGCUAGACAAACGUCAUGUCUGUGCCCAACUUUUUAUGAUGGAUUUGCUAAAUGGACAUAUACUCAAAAUUUCGCACAAGAUCUAAUAUUUAAAUGAAGAAAAUAUUUGCUUUAUGGCUGCCACAUGAAAAGGCGUCAAUCAAUUUAUUUUGAAUGGCAAGUUUUGUUGAUACAAACAGUUGAGGACAGUGGCAUGAAAAUAUUUCAUAAGCUUAUAAUUAAAAAAAAAAUGAACCAUUUUGCACACAUCAUGAAAAUCAAUUAACAAAUGAGGGAAUCUAAUGUGCUAAUUUGAUUAAAUUAUUAGUUUGAGUAAAACAAUUCAUUAGACGCUUUUAGAAAACUUAAAUGGAUGUCCACCGUGUGGUAUGAGUAAUUAAAAUAAAUCAUACAACCCCAUGAACCGGGGAAUAAAAAUAA